AUUGGAGGGCAAGUCUGGUGCCAGCAGCCGCGGUAAUUCCAGCUCCAAUAGCGUAUAUUAAAGUUGUUGCGGUUAAAAAGCUCGUAGUUGGAGGUCAGUUGCGGACUGGUGGUGGAGGUCACCGCCCGGUGCUUCCCCGCCAGGCUCCGAACAGCUUCCGUGAGUGGAAGCCAAGCCGGCUGUUGCGGGGUGCUCUUGACCGAGUGUCCCGCGUGGCCGGCCAGUUCACCUUGAAUAAAUGAGAGUGCUCAAAGCAGGCUACUCUGGAAUACAAUGCCCGAAUGUUACCUGCAUGGAAUGAUGGAAGAUGAUCUCGGUUCCAUUUUGUCGGUGGUGGGAGCCAGAGGUAAUGAUAAAGAGGGACUGUCGGGGGCAUCCGUACUACGACGCGAGAGGUGAAAUUCAGUGACCGUCGUAGGACGAACAACAGCGAAAGCAUUUGCCAAGAAUGUCUUCGUUGAUCAAGAACGAAAGUUAGAGGAUCGAAGGCGAUCAGAUACCGCCCUAGUUCUAACCCUAAACGAUGCUGACUAGCAAUUCGCCUAUGUUAUUCCCAUGACGUGGCGAGACGCCCCCGGGAAACCUCAAGUGUUUGAGUUCCGGGGGUAGUAUGGUUGCAAAAGUGAAACUUAAAGGAAUUGACGGAAGGGCACCACCAUGUGU
rnacentral:rRNA from 1 species